rnacentral:ncRNA from 1 species
UAAAGUAUAUCAAAGUUUAAAAUUUCUGGAGAUAAAUCCUUUGCAGACGACUUAAAUAAAGAACGGGGUAUUGUACGUUGUAGAGUAGCCUUGUUGCUACGAUCUUCUGAGAUUAAGCCUNUGUUCUACGAUUUGU